GACAACCCUCAUUGCUGCAGGAACUUUAUCUCACCGCGAAAUGUGCAUACGUAUUGCUCUAUAUUCUAAUUUUUAUAAGCAUUUACAAUUAAUGCGCGUUAUCCUUCUGUUAAGCAUUCAAAUUAAGCUAGUUUUUUAAUAGAGUACCAAGAUUAUACUUG